rnacentral:lncRNA from 1 species
AGGCUAAAUAAGUAUUCAAUUUGCUAUCUUUAAAUGUUCUUAUACAUUUACGACCAGUAGUAAAACAGUUCUUAACACUUUAAAAAUUUUUUGAAGAUUAUGAAACAAUCAUAAUUUUCCUUGUUGCUUCUUAAAAUUGCUUCACAGUUUCAACCUGCACAAUCAUUUCUUCAGUCCCACACUUUCGUGCAAAGCAAAGACUUUACAAUGCUGUGAUGUUGUAAAGAAAAUUCCCGUUGUCCUACUCUGAAUCAUUUGACAAAUGCAACUGAACCCACCACGAUGGAGUUGUGUAAUACCAAGGUUACAUGAAUCUUUCUCUCACAUAGUUUGCAGUUGAGGAAGAGGGAUGGCAAGUCAACCAACAUAAUGGUUAAGGCUGACAUUGAUUGAUAGCUUUCUGUGUGCUGGGCACUGUGCUGGUCCUUUUGUUACAGUGCAUUGCCUCCAAGGUGGAGCUUUAGGAGGGGGAUGAUAAUGAAAACUUCGGAGACCAUGGGGACUUCAUCCUUUAGAGCUUGGGUCCUCGUGCCUGUGUGUGAAGAAAGGCCCAGCCAGGAAGGCAGCGUCCCUCUUUUCUGCCCACACCUACAGGCUCCCAAGGCAGGGCCAAGGUGGAUGUGAGGCCUGAGACGGGAACUCAACACAGCAGUCCCCUGUCAUAAGGACAAGACUGGAAGUUGGCCAAGGUUUGCCAGCAUAUCAUCGCAUAAGAUGCAAAUGCCCGGGGAUUCUUCUAACGUGGUGUUAGGCAGAUGUACUUCAUAUCUUCUCCCUGUUUAUCUAAUUUCAUGAAGGCACAUUUCAGGAGAGUAAGCUGCCGCAAAGGGUAUACAUUGUGCCUUGGAAAACUCCCGGGCAUGAAAACUAUAAACCAGCCAUCCAAAUUACCUUCACAUUUAGGAAAUCAUUACUGUUGAUACGAUGUGUCUUUGUUGGAUCGUUGUAUCUUGGCAGUCUCUUCGAGCCUGUGCUUUUUAGCCUUCUCUCCACCUGUACUUUUAGGCAUUGCUUACUUUUUUAUAGGCAAAAAGAUUACAUAUGUGCACAUGUGUGUGGCUACAUGUGGGUAAAUAUGUAUGUAUCGGUAGGGGUACUGUAUUAGUAGCUGGGGCUGCCAUAAUAAAAUACCACAGAUGCGGCAGCUUACACAACGGAGCUUUAUUCCCUCGCAGUGCUGGGGGCUGGAAGCCCCACAUCCAGGUGUGGGCGGGAUUGGUUUCUCCUGAGGCCUCCCUCCUGGGCUUGCAGAUGGUGUCCUCUCCCUGUGUCCUCACACCGUCUUCCCUCUGUGGGUGUCUGUGUCCUCAUCUCCUCUUCCUAUAAGGACUCCUGACAUAUUGGAUUAGAGCCCAUUCUAAUGCCUUCGUUUUACCUUAAUUAUCUUUUUAAAGGCCUCAUCUCCAAAUACAGUCCCAGUCUGAGGUAUGAGGAGGUUAGGGCUUCAAAUAUGAAUUUUGAGGGACACAUUUCAGAUUAUAACAGAUACAUACAUAUGUAUAUCCUAUAAAUGAAAAUGUCAGGACGGAUUUUAGAGAUACAAGUUUUUACUUAAUUAUGAUCCCCCAGCGAUCUCAUCUCCUCUUAGUCUCAAUUUUUCUUGUCUAAGAGAGGGUGCUCCUACCCACAUCUUCAGUCCAAAUCCCUCUCCUGAAGGUCGGACCCGCAUUUGCAGUGACGGUGACUGGACAUUUUCUCCCAGGUGUUCGUCAACACUUUCAGCCCUACAGGUCUGAAACAAAACUUACCCACCUCCAGUGAAGCUCGUCCUCCUGGCCUUUCUGCUUCCUUUUUAAAGUCCAUCCCCCUCCAGGCCUCCCAUUACCGGCUGGGAGCC